GAUGAAGAACGUAGCGAAAUGCGAUAAGUAGUGUGAAUUGCAGAAUUCAGUGAAUCAUCGAAUCUUUGAACGCACAUUGCGCCCGCUAGUAUUCUGGCGGGCAUGCCUGUCCGAGCGUCAUUUCAACCCUCAAGCCCCUCCGGGGGCCUGGCGUUGGGGAUCGGCCCCGCUCCGGCGGCCGGCCCCGAAAUGUAGUGGCGGUCUCGCCGCUGCCUCCUCUGCGUAGUAGAAACACCUCGCAUUGGGACGCGGCGGGCCCACGCCGUUAACCAGAUGAAUUUUUUCAAGGUUGACCUCGGAUCAGGUAGGAAUACCCGCUGAACUUAAGCAUAUCAAUAAGCGGAGGA
rnacentral:misc_RNA from 1 species